rnacentral:rRNA from 1 species
UUGACGGGGGCCCGGCACAAGCGGAGGAGCAUGUGGUUUAAUUCGAUGAUACGCGAGGAACCUUACCUGGGCUCGAACGUAAGAUGACUGUAGGUGAAAGCUUACAUCUCUUCGGAGCAUUUUACGAGGUGCUGCAUGGUUGUCGUCAGCUCGUGCCGUGAGGUGUCGGGUUAAGUCCCAUAACGAGCGCAACCCCUACCUUUAGUUGCCAUCAGGUUAAGCUGGGGACUCUAAAGGAACUGCCUACGCAAGUAGUGAGGAAGGCGGGGAUGACGUCAAAUCAGCACGGCCCUUACGUCCAGGGCUACACACGUGCUACAAUGGCCGAUACAGAGGGCAGCUACCUGGUGACAGGAUGCAAAUCUCCAAAAGUCGGUCUCAGUUCGGAUCGGAGUCUGCAACCCGACUCCGUGAAGUUGGAUUCGCUAGUAAUCGCGCAUCAGCCAUGGCGCGGUGAAUACGUUCCCGGGCCUU